GGAGCUGGUGAGCAGAGCCAGGGUGUUGGGCUUAUGCGGGCUGGAGCUGGAACAGAACAGGUCCUUCUUACAGCACCAUCUACGAAGGAAGAUGAAGUGGAGAGAGAGACCAAAAGCAAAUGAUAAAGGAAGCUUUUGCCAGGGAUGAUGUCUUCAAGGAGUUCCUAAAAAAGAAGAGAGAAGCUAUCCAGGCCAAUAAGCCAAAGGACCUGGACCUGACCUUGCCUGGCCCUGCAGAGUAGGAUAGGAUGGAUUUGAAACAGAGCACCAAGACAAACCAGUAUCUGUCAACAAAAGUAAAGGGAUUUUAGGUUGAAUCAUUUGCUAAUAAACAAGGGAUGAGCUGUG